GACGAACGCUGGCGGCGUGCUUAACACAUGCAAGUCGAACGGAAAGGCCCUUUCGGGGUGCUCGAGUGGCGAACGGGUGAGUAACACGUGGGUGAUCUGCCCUGAACUUUGGGAUAAGCCUGGGAAACUGGGUCUAAUACCGGAUAUGACCAGUGGGUGCAUGCUUGCUGGUGGAAAGCCUUGUGCGGUUUGGGAUGGGCCCGCGGCCUAUCAGCUUGUUGGUGGGGUAAUGGCCUACCAAGGCGACGACGGGUAGCCGACCUGAGAGGGUGAUCGGCCACACUGGGACUGAGACACGGCCCAGACUCCUACGGGAGGCAGCAGUGGGGAAUAUUGCACAAUGGGCGCAAGCCUGAUGCAGCGACGCCGCGUGAGGGAUGACGGCCU
rnacentral:rRNA from 1 species